rnacentral:rRNA from 1 species
CAAUAGCGUAUAUUAAAGUUGUUGCGGUUAAAAAGCUCGUAGUUGGAUUUCUGCUGAGAACGACCGGUCCGCCCUUUGGGUGUGUAUCUGGCUCUUUCUUGGCAUCUUCUUGGUGAACGUUGCUGCACUUGACUGUGUGGAGCGCUACCCAGGACUUUUACUUUGAGGAAAUUAGAGUGUUUCAAGCAGGCAUACGCCUUGAAUACAUUAGCAUGGAAUAAUAAGAUAGGACCUCGGUACUAUUUUGUUGGUUUCUAGAGCUGAGGUAAUGAUUAAUAGGGAUAGUUGGGGGCAUUCGUAUUUAACUGUCAGAGGUGAAAUUCUUGGAUUUGUUAAGGACGGACUACUGCGAAAGCAUUUGCCAAGGAUGUUUUCAUUGA